UCAUUCUUAUCCUCAUACCACCCCCAGGCCAUGAGUCGGCCUUAUCCUCCAAGCAAGAGCCUCCCCAAACCAAGCCUUCCUCCAUUUUUGCCCCAGACAGCCAGCUCAAGAGGUUCCUAUUCGCUGGCAAAAUCCAUCCAAUUCCUACCAUCUCCCUUUGAUUCCUCUCACCCAAAGUUGCACCACUUCCCCAGUUACACCCUCAGCCCCUCCUCUCCCUCAAUCGUCCACUGAAUCGAUGGGAAUCGAAGUUUUCCCCAAGUUACAGAAACUUUUCCACCACCACCGUCGACCUCACAUGGCGCCACAUGCUCCGGCCCUCCUCGUCCCCGACCAACAACUCAAAUGGAACUUAGGUGAACUCCUAACAGUGAUGCUCUUAUCCGUUUUCUGUUUGCAUCAAGUUUCCACGGGCGUUCCCAGCGAUGUCGCCGGCGUUUGCUGCCGUCCCGCGGAGCUCCUGUGCACUGCUGCUUAUCCCCCCAUCUGUGCCACUCAGAUACGCUAGAUAAACAAUGUGAAGGACGUGAUGAUGGAAUCGAACCCGAAGAUGGUGUAUGGUGGACCUAUCCCGAAGAUGGAAGGACUAAGCAAGUGCUGAGAUGGGAGAUGCUCGCCAAGCGAGUGUCGUCUAACAAACACUAACCUAGUGCUGGAUUCCAGGCAAGCCUUGGAGCAUGAUUUCCUAUCUUUAAAUACUUGCAAUACAAUUAAUUUCUUUGAUUGCACAGUUA